rnacentral:ncRNA from 1 species
GUUCGGAUUGAGGUCUGCAACUCGACCUCAUGAAGCCGGAAUUGCUAGUAAUCGCAGGUCAGCUAUACUGCGGUGAAUACGUUCUCGAGUCUUGUACUCGGGUCGCCAUGCGAUCGAGUACGCU